UCGUGGCCUGGCUUUCGCGGCCGGCUGAAGUAUUUUUUUCACCCAUGUCUUUUGCGCACUUGUUGUUUCCUGGGCGGGUUCGCCCGCCACCAGGACCAAACCAUAAACCUUUUUUUCUUAUGCAGUUUCCAUCAGCGUCAGUAAAAACAAUGUAAUUAUUACAACUUUCAACAACGGAUCUCUUGGUUCUGGCAUCGAUGAAGAACGCAGCGAAAUGCGAUACGUAGUGUGAAUUGCAGAAUUCAGUGAAUCAUCGAAUCUUUGAACGCACAUUGCGCCCUUUGGUAUUCCAAAGGGCAUGCCUGUUCGAGCGUCAUUUGUACCUUCAAGCUUUGCUUGGUGUUGGGCGUUUUUUUGUCUCCCUCUUUCUGGGAGACUCGCCUUAAAACGAUUGGCAGCCGGCCUACUGGUUUCGGAGCGCAGCACAUUUUUUGCGCUUUGUAUCAGGAGAAAAGGACGGUACUCCAUCAAGACUCUACAUUUUUCACUUUUGACCUCGGAUCAGGUAGGGAUACCCGCUGAACUUAAGCAUAUCAAUAAGCGGAGGAAAA
rnacentral:rRNA from 1 species